CGCAGCCCUUGGGUGGAGGCUUGUACUUGGCCUAAGGGGUGCAGCGGCGGGUAGCUGGGGCGUCUAGAGAAGGGAGGGGGAUGUAUGGUAGAGCAGGGAGCGCCUGGGUCCCCGAGGCAGCCCCUAGUGAGCCCGAGGUAUUUUCCUUAUAUGAUCAGGCCUCUCCUAGCCGGCGCUGCUGGUCUGGAGCCUGAGAGGAUUAUGAAAACGUGGCAGGGUUACCUGCUGUUCUGAAACUCCUGUAGACUAGGCUAAGAAUUAUGUGAUUCGCCUAAAUACUGGGAUUAAAGGGGAUUAAAGGCGUGCUUCACCACACCUGGGUUCAACCUACCCUUUUUUUUUUUUUUUUUUUGCGAAAAACGUCAGACAAGUGAAAAGGUCCCUUAGAGAGGAAUUUUCAUGCAGUCCUGUGCAAAGCUCAAGCUGUAGGAAUGGAUGUCUCUGCUCUUGCAUUGGGUUCCUCUGUUUCAUUUGCCCUCCAAGUCACUACGAGGAGGGACUUCCAUGUUUGCUCUUAGCUGUAAUUAUGUGAAUGGUCCUGAUAAAAUCGGGGUGAAAGGUAACACACUCAAAGGGGCAUGUGUAAGAAUAGCAGCAGUUUCAGUCUCAGAAAAGGAACUGAGGCGUUUCCUUAACCAAAUGACCAAACUUAAGAGUCACCAGUCAGGAAGCCAUGGACUCCCUGGUGCACGGAGAACACAACUCUCUUAUGUAGGACUCCUCCCCUAAAUGCCCUGAAUCUAAUCACGUCAAGACAAGCCCAACAUUAACUGACAUGUAGGAGACUGGCUUUGGGAGGUUUUCGUUUUGUUUGUAGUUAGGCACAGAAAUAUUUAUGGGUGAAGAUUCAGUGUCUGCAACUAAA
rnacentral:lncRNA from 1 species